GAAGAACUCCGAAACUUUCAGACAUUCGCUGAAGUUUGUGCGAGUAAGUUGAUUAUUGAGGUUGCUCUGAUCAGGAGAGAAAAUGGGUACACUUCGCGCUGAUGUAGUGCAUUUUCCACUGCGCCCCCUGUUGUACACGGCCGUAGCUGCAUCCACGGCAGCCGGCAUUUACUAUUAUGUUAAACGACGCAGUCGAGAGAAAACAACAGCGGGCCCCGAGGACACAACUGAAGAUUCAGUGUGUGACCAGGCCACGGAACCGGCUGUGGUCCAACCCACAGAGGUUCCUCAGGACCAGGUCACGGAUACUGUGACGAUUCUGACCCUUGUGGUGUCCAAUAUUCAGCUGCAGAACAGAGUGAAUGAGCUGGAGGAACUGCUCUGUGAGGAAUGCAGAGAUUGUGACAUGAAAAGCAAGGUCUCCCUUGUGCCACCGAAACAGCUCUGACCCGUCGAGGCAUGGACCUCUGAAUUGGUGGUGUGGUAUCUGGUACCAAGAUGUUAGCAGCAG
ensembl:lncRNA